rnacentral:rRNA from 1 species
GCCUCAGUAACGGCGAGUGAAGCGGCAACAGCUCAAAUUUGAAAUCUGGCCCCCCGGCCCGAGUUGUAAUUUGCAGAGGAUGCUUCUGGCGCGGUGCCUUCCAAGUCCCCUGGAACGGGGCGCCAUAGAGGGUGAGAGCCCCGUCCGGUUGGCCGCCAAGCCUGUGUGAAGCUCCUUCGACGAGUCGAGUAGUUUGGGAAUGCUGCUCUAAAUGGGAGGUAGACCCCUUCUAAAGCUAAAUACCGGCCAGAGACCGAUAGCGCACAAGUAGAGUGAUCGAAAGAUGAAAAGCACUUUGAAAAGAGGGUUAAACAGUACGUGAAAUUGUUGAAAGGGAAGCGCUUGUGACCAGACGUGCGCCGGGUGUUCAGCGGGCGUUUUCGCCCGUGCAUUCGCCCCGGCGCAGGCCAGCGUCGGUUCGGGCGGGGGGAUAAAGGUGCCAGGAACGUAUCUCCCCCGGGAGUGUUAUAGCCUGGUGCGUCAUGCCCCCGCCUGGACCGAGGUUCGCGCUCCGCAAGGACGCUGGCGUAAUGGUCCCCAGCGGCCCGUCUUGAAACACGGACCAAGGAGUCGAGGUUUUACGCGAGUGUCUGGGUGUCAAACCCGCACGCGUAAUGAAAGUGAACGUAGGUGGGAGCUUCGGCGCACCACCGACCGAUCCUGAUGUUUUCGGAUGGAUUUGAGUAGGAGCGUAGGGCCUCGGACCCGAAAGAUGGUGAACUAUACUUGGAUAGGGUGAAGCCAGAGGAAACUCUGGUGGAGGCUCGCAGCGGUUCUGACGUGCAAAUCGAUCGUCAAAUCUGA